UUAAGUAACUAAGCGUACAAGGUGGAUGCCUUGGCAAUCAGAGGCGAAGAAGGACGUGCUAAUCUGCGAAAAGCUUGGAUGAGUCGAUAAGAGGCGUUUAAUCCAAGAUAUCCGAAUGGGGAAACCCAGUAGAUGAAGAAUCUACUAUCAACAAGUGAAUUCAUAGCUUGUUGAGGCAAACCGGGAGAACUGAAACAUCUAAGUACCCCGAGGAAAAGAAAUCAACCGAGAUUUCGUCAGUAGCGGCGAGCGAAAGCGAAAGAGCCAGUAAGUGAUAGCAGUAUAGUGAGGAGAAUGUGUUGGGAAGCACAAUCAAAGAGGGUGAUAAUCCCGUAUCUAAAAACCAUAUUGUGGUACUAAGCUAACGAGAAGUAGGGCGGGACACGUGAUAUCCUGUUUGAAGAAGGGGGGACCAUCCUCCAAGGCUAAAUACUCCUGAUUGACCGAUAGUGAACCAGUACUGUGAAGGAAAGGCGAAAAGAACCCCGGUGAGGGGAGUGAAAUAGAACCUGAAACCUUGUACGUACAAGCAGUGGGAGCCCCAUCACUUAAUCCGAUUGGAAGGUGAUGAAAAGCAACCGCACUUAAACAAUGGUAAGAGGAGCGAAGCGAGUCAAACCACCCAAAAGAAGCAGUGGGAUUAAGUGAUGGGGUGACUGCGUACCUUUUGUAUAAUGGGUCAGCGACUUAUAUUUUGUAGCGAGGUUAACUGAAUAGGGGAGCCGAAGGGAAACCGAGUCUUAACUGGGCGAGUAGUUGCAAGGUAUAGACCCGAAACCCGGUGAUCUAGCCAUGGGCAGGUUGAAGGUUGGGUAACACUAACUGGAGGACCGAACCGACUAAUGUUGAAAAAUUAGCGGAUGACUUGUGGCUGGGGGUGAAAGGCCAAUCAAACCGGGAGAUAGCUGGUUCUCCCCGAAAUCUAUUUAGGUAGAGCCUUGAGGUGACACCUUUGGGGGUAGAGCACUGUUUCGGCUAGGGGGCCAUCCCGGCUUACCAACCCGAUGCAAACUACGAAUACCAAAGAGUGAUACUCAGGAGACACACGGCGGGUGCUAACGUCCGUCGUGGAGAGGGAAACAACCCAGACCGCCAGCUAAGGUCCCCAAGUCUAUAUUAAGUGGGAAACGAAGUGGGAAGGCUUAGACAGCUAGGAUGUUGGCUUAGAAGCAGCCAUCAUUUAAAGAAAGCGUAAUAGCUCACUAGUCGAGUCGGCCUGCGCGGAAGAUGUAACGGGGCUGAAAUAUAGCACCGAAGCUGCGGCAUCAGAAUUUAUUCUGUUGGGUAGGGGAGCGUUGUGUAAGCGGAAGAAGGUUCAUCGAGAGGUGGGCUGGACGUAUCACAAGUGCGAAUGCUGACAUAAGUAACGAUAAAACGGGUGAAAAACCCGUUCGCCGGAAGACCAAGGGUUCCUGUCCAACGUUAAUCGGGGCAGGGUGAGUCGGCUCCUAAGGCGAGGCUGAAAAGCGUAGUCGAUGGGAAACAGGUUAAUAUUCCUGUACUUGGUAAAGCUGCGAUGUGGGGACGGAGUAGGUUAGGUUAUCGCACUGUUGGAUAUGUGCGUUUAAGUUGGUAGGUGGGAAGUUUAGGCAAAUCCGGGCUUCCUUAACACAGAGAGAUGAUGACGAGGCUCUACGGAGCUGAAGUAACUGAUACCACACUUCCAGGAAAAGCCACUAAGCGAAAGGCUUUACUAAACCGUACUGAAAACCGACACAGGUGGUCAGGUAGAGAAUACUCAGGCGCUUGAGAGAACUCGGGUGAAGGAACUAGGCAAAAUAGCACCGUAACUUCGGGAGAAGGUGCGCCGGCGUAGAUUGUAAGGGCUAGCCCCUGAAGGUUGAACCGGUCGAAGAUACCAGCUGGCUGCAACUGUUUAUUAAAAACACAGCACUCUGCAAACACGAAAGUGGACGUAUAGGGUGUGAUGCCUGCCCGGUGCUGGAAGGUUAAUUGAUGGUGUAAUCGCAAGAGAAGCACCUGAUCGAAGCCCCAGUAAACGGCGGCCGUAACUAUAACGGUCCUAAGGUAGCGAAAUUCCUUGUCGGGUAAGUUCCGACCUGCACGAAUGGCAUAAUGAUGGCCAGGCUGUCUCCACCCGAGACUCAGUGAAAUUGAAAUCGCCGUGAAGAUGCGGUGUACCCGCGGCUAGACGGAAAGACCCCGUGAACCUUUACUAUAGCUUGACACUGAACAUUGAAUUUUGAUGUGUAGGAUAGGUGGGAGACUUAGAAGUAGUCACGCCAGUGAUUAUGGAGUCGACCUUGAAAUACCACCCUUUAACGUUUGAUGUUCUAACGAAGAUGACGAAACGUGGUCUCGGACAGUGUCUGGUGGGUAGUUUGACUGGGGCGGUCUCCUCCCAAAGCGUAACGGAGGAGCACGAAGGUUUGCUAAUCACGGUCGGACAUCGUGAGGUUAGUGCAAUGGUAUAAGCAAGCUUAACUGCGAGACAGACAAGUCGAGCAGGUACGAAAGUAGGUCAUAGUGAUCCGGUGGUUCUGAAUGGAAGGGCCAUCGCUCAACGGAUAAAAGGUACUCCGGGGAUAACAGGCUGAUACCGCCCAAGAGUUCAUAUCGACGGCGGUGUUUGGCACCUCGAUGUCGGCUCAUCACAUCCUGGGGCUGAAGUAGGUCCCAAGGGUAUGGCUGUUCGCCAUUUAAAGUGGUACGCGAGCUGGGUUUAGAACGUCGUGAGACAGUUCGGUCCCUAUCUGCCGUGGGCGUAGGAGAAUUGGUUGGGGCUGCUCCUAGUACGAGAGGACCGGAGUGGACGCACCACUGGUGUUCCGGUUGUGUCGCCAGACGCAUUGCCGGGUAGCUAAGUGCGGAAGAGAUAAGUGCUGAAAGCAUCUAAGCACGAAACUUGCCAAGAGAUGAGUUCUCCCAAUCUAAGAGAUUGUAAGGGUUGUUGUAGACUACGACGUAGAUAGGUCUGGUGUGUAAGUGUAGUGAUGCAUUGAGCUAACAGAUACUAAUUGCCCGAGAGGCUUAACU
rnacentral:rRNA from 1 species